UACGAAGGGGGCUAGCGUUGUUCGGAAUUACUGGGCGUAAAGCGCGCGCAGGUGGUCUUUCAAGUCAGUGGUGAAAGCCCGGAGCUCAACUCCGGAACUGCCAUUGAAACUGUGAGACUUGAGGACGAGAGAGGUGAGUGGAAUUCCCAGUGUAGAGGUGAAAUUCGUAGAUAUUGGGAAGAACACCGGUGGCGAAGGCGGCUAUCUGGACGACAACUGACGCUGAGGCGCGAAAGCGUGGGGAUCAAACAGG
rnacentral:rRNA from 1 species